CCCAGUUCGGACUGCAGCCUGCAACCCGGCUGCACGAAGCCGGAAUCGCUAGUAAUCGCAGAUCAGCAUGCUGCGGUGAAUACGUUCCCGGGUCUUGUACACACCGCCCGUCACACCAUGGGAGCCGGGAAUGCCCGAAGUCAGCGGCCCAAACCGGAAAGGGGGGGAGCUGCCGAAGGCAGGCCUGGUGACUGGGGUGAAGUCGUAACAAGGUACC
rnacentral:rRNA from 1 species